rnacentral:rRNA from 3 species
AAGUAAGGGCGUACAGUGGAUGCCUUGGCACUAAGAGCCGAUGAAGGACG